GAGUUUGAUCAUGGCUCAGGAUGAACGCUAGCGGCAGGCCUAACACAUGCAAGUCGAACGGUAACAGGAAAUAGCUUGCUAUUUUGCUGACGAGUGGCGCACGGGUGCGUAACGCGUAUACAAUCUACCUUUUGCUGAGGGAUAGCCCAGAGAAAUUUGGAUUAAUACCUCAUGGUAUUAUUGAUAGGCAUCUAUUAAUAAUUAAAGGUUACGGCAAAAGAUGAGUAUGCGUCCCAUUAGCUAGUUGGUGAAGUAACGGUUCACCAAGGCAACGAUGGGUAGGGGUCCUGAGAGGGAGAUCCCCCACACUGGUACUGAGACACGGACCAGACUCCUACGGGAGGCAGCAGUGAGGAAUAUUGGACAAUGGGCGAGAGCCUGAUCCAGCCAUGCCGCGUGCAGGAAGACUGCCCUAUGGGUUGUAAACUGCUUUUAUACAGGAAGAAUAAGCCUUACGUGUAAGGUGAUGACGGUACUGUAAGAAUAAGGACCGGCUAACUCCGUGCCAGCAGCCGCGGUAAUACGGAGGGUCCGAGCGUUAUCCGGAAUUACUGGGCGUAAAGCGCGCGUAGGUGGUUUAUUAAGUUGGGUGUGAAAUCCCCGGGCUCACCCUGGAACUGCAUCCAAACUGAUUCACUAGAGUACGAUAGAGGGAGGUAGAUUCACAGUGUANCGUUGGAAUGCGUAGAUAUUGUGAAGAAUACCAUGGCGAAAGCAGCCUCUUGGACUGUACUGACCCUGAAGUGCGAAAGCGUGGGUAGCGAAAAGAUUAAAUCCCGGGAAGUCCACGCCUAAACAAUGACAACUAGCUGUGGGAGGAUUAUGUCUUUCAGUGGCGCAGCUAACGCUUAAAGUUGUCCGCCUGGGGAGUACGGCCGCAAGGCUAAAACUCAAAUGAAUUGACGGGGACCCGCACAAGCGGUGGAGCAUGUGGUUUAAUUCGAUGCAACGCGAAAAACCUUACCUAUGCUUGACAUACUUGGAAUACUUUGUAAUGAAGUAGUGCCUUCGGGAGCCAAGAUACAGGUGCUGCAUGGCUGUCGUCAGCUCGUGUCGUGAGAUGUUCCGUUAAGUCGGAUAACGAGCGCAACCCUUACCCUUAUUUGCCAGCGAUUCGGUCGGGAACUAUAAGGGGACUGCCGGUGAUAAACCGGAGGAAGGUGAGGACGACGUCAAGUCAUCAUGGCCCUUACGCAUAGGGCUACACACGUGCUACAAUGGAGAAUACAGACGGACGCUAAGCCGCGAGGUGGUGCCAAUCCUAGAAAAUUCUUCGUAGUCCGGAUUGGAGUCUGCAACUCGACUCCAUGAAGUCGGAAUCGCUAGUAAUCGCGAAUCAGCAUGUCGCGGUGAAUACGUUCUCGGGUCUUGUACACACCGCCCGUCAUACCAUGGAAGUGGAUUGCACCAGAAGUAGAUAGUCUAACCUUAGGGAGGGCGUUUACCACGGUGUGCUUCAUGACUGGGGUAAAGUCGUAACAAGGUAACC
rnacentral:rRNA from 1 species